rnacentral:lncRNA from 13 species
CUCUAGCUAACACUGAGCCUAUCAUUAGACCCACUACAACAAUCAGGCUAUCUUUACUGACGGCCUGUCCACGGAGCCUUGAGUGUGUCCGACACCAGGCAGCACGGUAUACAAGCCUCGUGUUGGUGGUGAAAGAGAGGGGAGGAAGUGGUAGACGGAUAGGAAUAGAGAAGAGAAAGUCAGUCAGUGAGAAACGGUAUUUGUGAGAAUGUCUCAAAAGAGUUAAAACCAGAUUGUGGUGUUUUAUAGUUUACUAACCAGGCAUAAUAUGUGUCUACUGUCAGUGGGGCAGUCUUAGGCUGUGUCCCCCAAAUGACACCCUAUUCCCUAUAUAGUGCACUACUUUUGACCAGAGCCCUAUGGACCCUGGUCAAAAGUAGUGCACUAAAUAGAGAAUAGGGUACCAUUUUGGACGUAGUCUUUACAGUAGUAGUUGUGACUGGGCCCUAUGCCAUUUAAGGUGGGUAAAGUGAAAGUGGAGUUGAGGUAGAAGCCAGGGCUAGUGGAGGCAGAAGAGGUCAGGGGACUCUCUAUCUCCAACACAUGGCAGUAGUACUGUACACUGUGCUGCUGGGUUGAGGUAGAAGCCAGGGCUAGUGGAGGCAGAAGAGGAGAGGUCAGGGGACUCUCUAUCUCCAACACAUGGCAGUAGUACUGUACACUGUGCUGCUGGGUUGAGGUAGAGGGCUAGUGGAGGCAGAAGAGGAGAGGUCAGAGGACUCUCUAUCUCCAACACAUGGCAGUAGUACUGUACGCUGUGCUGCUGGGUUUGACCAACAAGUGACUUCCUCAUCACCAAUGCUGGUGGUUCAAGCCCAGUUAUUUCAUCAUCUGCUUAAUGCUGCCCCAGUCUCUUUAAUGAAACCACCUGUGGCUUUUAGUGCAGGUUUGUAGCUUGUUCUAAAGUAGCAGACAGUCUCACCACUCACAAUGAAGACAAAUAAAUGUUUGGUUCCAUCAUGAUUAGAUUUAUUUGACAUGGAUGUUUUAGUUUUUUGGUUGAUGUCCUUCUGGUCUUUUUGGAAACCUUACAAAAUGUUGUAAUGAUAGAUGAACAGUGUCCGUGUCUUUCUCGUUACCUGACAGUGUUGUAGACAGUAAAACUGGUCCAAUCUGUGUACAACUGAAUAGUUCAUUAAGCCCCAUAUCCUUUUCAAAGCAACUGUACAAAACCAUUACCUGGGGUCAAACAUGUUUAAAACCGUAGAAAAGUGAUUUUUAAUAAACACUCGUCACCUUAACUACUGAUUAGCUUACAGGGACUGCUAGAUCUAUCGCCUUCUGCUUAGCGCUUCAGU